rnacentral:rRNA from 1 species
GCUGGCGGCGUGCCUAACACAUGCAAGUCGAACGCGAAAGUGGAGCAAUCCAUGAGUAGAGUGGCAAACGGGUGAGUAACACGUGGGUGACCUGCCUUCGAGCGGGGGAUAACGUCCCGAAAGGGACGCUAAUACCGCAUGACAUCCUGUCUUUUAAGAGAUGGAGAUCAAAGCCGGGGAUCGCAAGACCUGGCACUCGGAGAGGGGCCCGCGCCUGAUUAGCUAGUUGGUGGGGUAACGGCUCACCAAGGCAACGAUCAGUAUCCGGCCUGAGAGGGCGGACGGACACACUGGGACUGAGACACGGCCCAGACUCCUACGGGAGGCAGCAGUGGGGAAUUGUUCGCAAUGGGCGCAAGCCUGACGACGCAACGCCGCGUGGAGGAUGAAGAUCUUCGGGUCGUAAACUCCUUUCGAUCGAGACGAAUUCCUUCGGGGUGAACAAUCCCGAGGGGUGACGGU